CCUACGGGUGGCAGCAGUGAGGAAUAUUGGUCAAUGGACGAAAGUCUGACGCAGCGAAGCAGCGUGAAGGAUGACUGCCCUAGGAGCGGUAAACUUCUUUUAUAUGGAAGUAAGAUGAUGCACGUGUGGGAUUUUGUAUGUACCAUAUGAAUAAAGAUCGGCUAACUAAGUGCCAGCAGCCGCGGUAAUACGGAGGAUCCGAGCGUUAUCCGGAUUUAUUGGGUUUAAAGGGAGCGUAAGUGGAUUGUCAAGUCAGUUGUGAAAGUUUGGGGCUCAACCGUAAAAUUGCAGUUGAAACUGGCAGUCUUGAGUACAGUAGAGGUGGGCGGAAUUCGUGGUGUAGCGGUGAAAUGCUUAGAUAUCACGAAGAACUCCGAUUGCGAAGGCAGCUCACUGGACUGCAACUGACACUGAGGCUCGAAAGUGUGGGUAUCAAACAGGAUUAGAUACCCGUGUAGUC
rnacentral:rRNA from 1 species